rnacentral:lncRNA from 10 species
CUCAAGGCGAUGUGUGAACUCGGGAAUCUUGUAAGCAUUUUGCUCACGCAACUUGGCUUUCUUUGGAACUUGAAGCUUGCUUCUGUUCAACUGAAAUCAAAAUUGCCUGUCAUGGAGAUGUGCUUGCAGGCUGUGACUGCGGCUCCACACUGGAACUUUUAGCUACAACCCCCACAAACACUGACUGAGAAUACUGAAUGGGGUGCUGGGGUGAACAGAGGAAAACUUUGGAUGCUGAGAAAAUGAUGCAAGCUCAGUGACCUCCCAUUCAACUGGAGGGGGUCUGUGGGGAUCAGAAGAAGCAAGGCUUCACUGGUUUCCAUUUUCCUGAGCUAACGGCCACAAGCUUAUUCCAAUGGACCCUUGUGAUUUGAGAUAGUUUGUGCUGGCUGCAUUUGGAGCUCCAGCUUCCGUGGGAGUUGGAGCGGAAAGAACACUGAAAUGUCCUCUUCUUGCUGGGAGCCGUGGACACCUCUUCUGGAGAAGAGAGAUGGCAGAGAACAAGGUGGGGGGAGCCUGAGAAAAGCCCCAAAGUGGGGGCCACCAUGGGACACUCUGGACACUCUGUGACCUGGACCAAUUAUCUUUCCUCCCUGGCUUAGGUUUGCUUGUCAAUAGUAAUAACAAUGACAGCAGCAAUCAUAAUUGCUGAAUAUGAAUAGUCCUUCCUCCCUGUCUGCACAAAACCCCUCCUUUGGCUAUGUCAGAUGAAGAAACUGAGGCACAGGGAUGUGAAGUAACUGGCCCAAGUGGGUGACAAAGCUGGGAUCGGAACCAGGUAAUUCAACUCCAGACCCGUGUUAUUCACCACAAAGCUAUCCUGCCUCCCUUGUGAAAUAGGGGUUUGAGCUGGAGCUGGGGUUCUCAACCUGGAGUAACUAGGCAGUGGGUUUCAGGGAUCCAGUGAGCCUCUAGCAGGUAUUCACGAUUGUGAUGCAACCAGCCUCGGAGACACCCUGAGAAACGCCGCCUAAUGGAAUCCAUCCCUCGGGACAGAAGCCGCCGGUCUUCCCUGACCGCACCCACUCGCCCCACAGAGCACCCCCUCCUUGUCAAAGCCGGCGACUCUGCAGGCUUCUGGUGCAGACAAUGUGGCCACCAGAUGCACGGCACCCAGCUUGCGGGGAUGCCGGGCAAAUGUUAUUACAGCGAUAACAGUGAUUCUGCUUAGGAUAACAAUGAUGGAAAUCUGUAUUAAAUGACUUGAAACUGCUGAUGCCUUUCCUUUUCCCCAAAGAGAAGAAAGGGAUGCGAAUGUGUCACUUGAACUGGCUGCUGCGGUUCAUCUGGACUCCAUCGUUCCUGCCAUCAUCUUUAUUAGUAGCAUUGUUUUAAAAAAAUGAGUAAGUUUGAAACCACCAGGUGUUUUGAAUUUUUAUCUUGUUCACUUGCUUACAUGAGGAAAUUCAAAUGGAGACCAAUGCAUUAGUAAAAGCCCAGUGGAAGGAGAGUGCCCCUUCUCUCCCGGGUGGGGGGCUCCCUGCCCUCCCUGACAGGCUCCCCCUAGUUCUGGGUUCUGGCUGCAGUUCCAGCCCCGACCACCAGGAGUUGAUCUCGGGAGCGUUAUCUGCGCAGCUCCUUCCCAGUCCUCCUCUGAGUCCUCCGUGACUUCAAGCAGCCACACGCCUCCUUCUCCCUCCCUGUUAAUCCCCACCGAAAGCAGGCUUGGUGUGGCCGCUCCCCAGACUCACAGGCCCUUCCUGGUUAUUUCUGCAGAAUCCACUCUCCCUGUCAGUCUGGGAAAGAAAGCAGAGAGAGAAAAAGAGCUGUAGCGUCAAGGGGACUGCCAGAUCCCGCAGCAAUCCUCCGUGCUCCAGGGUCUCCUUCGGGCGCCUUGCAAUCUCAGCGCCAGCUACUGAACACCUAGAGUAUUGUUCAGUGGAGGAUGCCAAGGGAGGCCUCGAGCCUGAAUUAGCCCCGUGAAAGGGGUCUUGCUCCCCCGCUCAUACGCUGAGGUCCAGGGAGCAUAGGCAGCUUCCCCAGGGCGACCAUAAGGGCCCGCACGCAAUGUGGUGACCCCCUUUCCCUCUGUCGUUUGGCCACCUCAGCUAUUACAACAGGAAGCCAU